rnacentral:rRNA from 1 species
AUUGAACGCUGGCGGCAGGCCUAACACAUGCAAGUCGAGCGAGCGGCGGACGUGUGAGUAAUGUCUGGGAAACUGCCUGAUGGAGGGGGCUCACUCCUGGAGACGGUAGCUAAUACCGCAUACCAUCAGAUGUGCCCAGGUGGGAUUAGCUCGUAGGUGGGGUAACGGCUCACCUAGGCGACGAUCCCUAGCUGGUCUGAGAGGAUGACCAGCCACACUGGAACUGAGACACGGUCCAGACUCCGACGGGAGGCAGCAGUGGGGAAUAUUGCACAAGGGGCGCAAGCCGGAUGCAGCCAUGCCGCGGGUGUGAAGAAGGCCGUCGGGUUGUAAAGCACUGUCAGCGGGGAGGCGUUACCCGAAGAAGAAGCACCGGCUAACUCCGUGCCAGCAGCCGCGGUAAUAC